AAGUACUGGUAUGUAUAAUAAUUUUAAAUGGGUCUAAAUUGUCUAGUUUUCUUAUUGACAUGACAAGUUCUAAUUUCAUAGGUUGAGUGUUUAUUAUAUAAUAUUGUGUAUAUUGUGACAAUGUUGCCCUGGUUAAAUUAUAAUAUUCUAUAGAAAUUGGUUGUUGAAAGUCAGGUUGCCCUUUACAGACACAGGUUAACUAAGCUUGCUGUGCUCUUGUUACAAAUGUAUAUAUAUAUUCAUACUAAAAACAUUGUUAUACAUACAGCUGUCAGUGACUCAUGUUUUUUGUUUUUUCAAUUUACAGAUUCUGAGGUUAUAAAAGAGAAAGAAGUGUUCCCCAAAAGAGAACCACUAUCCAGUGGGGAAGAGGUUAAAAUAGAUUGUAACAGGGAUGUCAUCAUAGCUGAGCCUGUGAUCAAUGAUGGCCCAGUGGCUAUCGCGAUUACUCCGAGGGCUCGCUUGUUCCCUAAGGCUGCCACUCCCGUUCAUCCCAAGGUACAUGAACAUUCUUUAGUUCCAGAAGUUGAGAAAAGCACAUGGUAAAGACAAAAGCAUCAGUGCAGGGUCAGACUGUAGAGUCAGACUCUACACCCACAAAAGAAGAGGACAACAGAGUGUCAUAGUGGUGAAAAAGCAAUUGUGAUACUGUUGAAUAUGUAGGUAAUUUCUCAGUCUGUUCUCUCAUGGUAACUCGACAAACAGUUAAGAUGAAUACCACAAGUAAUGGAUGAAAUAAAAGACUUGACAGGAAAAAUGAAACCAAAUCAUCGCAGAAGAAAUGACUGCAAACUUAUGGAUUUACAGGGUUGCAAUGUGAUAAAAAGUUCAGAUCACUGAAGUACUGAUUCUGAGGUUAUAAAAGAGAAAGAAGUGUUCCCCAAAAGAGAACCACUAUCCAGUGGGGAAGAGGUUAAAAUAGAUUGUAACAGGGAUGUCAUCAUAGCUGAGCCUGUGAUCAAUGAUGGCUUAGUCGCUAUCGCGAUUACUCCGAGGGCUCGCUUGUUCCCUAAGGCUGCCACUCCCAUUCAUCCCAAGCAAAACCAUGGAAAUGUCCAAUGGACAAUUGUAACAAAGAAUACGUUCAUAGGGGAUGGCUCAAGAGACAUCUAAGGAUCAAACAUGAUAUGGUAAUCAAAAUAGUAUUCGGAUAAACCAUAUAUAUAUAGCAUUUCUUUAACAUUUGAUACCCAGUUUUUUUUUACCUAAUUAUAACAAUCAGAUAAACUUAAUUCAUAUGUUUUCCGUAAAAUUAUAUUGUCAGUAUUUAUCAAUUUGCACCAAAACUUAAUUAUUCUUACGUAUCGAUUGAUAUACAAUGGGUGACGGCCGAGUUUGCCGAAUAUACGAACAUUGCUUGUAUUGGCUCUAACAUUUAAAAUUCUUUUACAAUAUUUCAAGUGAAUAUGCUCAAUUAUCUUUUGAUUUGCUAUAACACCAUACUCUCAGAUGCAUAUAAUAUGAUUGAGCCUACAACAGAAUCAAUAAUUGGCAUAAUAAUUUGGGUUUUAAAUCCAUGUCUUCUGUUUAGAAGUAAAAGCAAUGUAUAUAGUUCCAGUAACAACUUCCUCAUUAAUAGGUAAUAGUUUUAGCUUGAUUACACCCUAUUGGAUACGCUGUCUAUUUUUCAUAUAACAUGCUGGAAUAUUAAAAUUUUGCUUAGAAAUACAUUAUGUAUUACAAAAUACGUUUGUUUACAUCAAGUUAACAUAUUAUUUGAUUUAAUUAUGAUUUCCACAAUUCAUAAAACAUGCCAACUCUUUGAAAUAAGUCAAAUCUAACAUUUUAAAAAUAUCCCUAGAUUUUCGUGAUUUUGGUCACAACACGCUUCCGUAGCAAAGAAAAAUUUACAUAACUUGUGCAUAUACAUUUUUUUAAAUACCCAGUAAGAUGUGUGGUUAAUUCAGUGUCAUUUUAGAUAAUUGUACAAAAGAAAACAAUGUAGAACAGUGAGUAAAAGAUAAACUCUCUUUUAAUGAUUACUUUAUGCAAAAUUGUGUUUAAAAUCGCGAAAUUAUAUGACACAUUUUGUCAUCUGCAUAAUCGAUUGAUUGGUG